AUAUGGAUAUUGACCCUAUUCUGAUUCUGUGGUAAUCAGGACCAGCUAAACACACUCUACAGUUAAGUCUGUGUACAUGUUCCCAGACUUAGCUCUAUCCCUAGGCCUGGUUUUGUAAAAGUUGGUGAAAAGC